CACGUACUGUGCGAACGUUAUUCGGAAUCACUGGGCUUAAAGGGUGCGUAGGCGGCGAUUCAAGUCAGAUGUGAAAUGCCUGAGCUCAACUGAGGCAUUGCGUUUGAAACUGAUUUGCUAGAGUAUUUCAGGGGUGUGCGGAACUGCCAGUGGAGCGGUGAAAUGUGUUGAUAUUGGCAGGAACACCGGAGGCGAAAGCGGCACACUGGGGAAUAACUGACGCUGAGGCACGAAAGCCAGGGGGAGCGAACGGGGAUUAGAACCGUACCG
rnacentral:rRNA from 1 species